GCGACGACCGCCCUCCACGCCGCCACCGAGAAACGAAUCGGCAGACCUCCCUCCGACCGAGAUGUGGCCACCUUCAUGAGCGGCUCCCUGGAUGGCGACUUCGCCCGGGACAGGGGCGACUUCGCCUCGCUGUGGACCCGCGCCCGCAAUGCCACGCGCUGGCUGGGAAAGCGCCUGGGCUGCCGCUGGGAAUGGAACGAGGAACGGCAGGAGCUGGGAGUCCUGAUACCGCGGAUCGGAACGGAGGACAACAUCAUCGUCACCCCCGGAGCCAGAGGCGUGCUGGAGAGAUCCCUGAAGGCCGCUGUCCACGCGCUCUACGUGGACGCCCUGAAGAAAAAGCCGGACCAGGGUAAAGUCUUUGAAGUAACCAGCAAGUGGGACUCCAGCAACCACUUCCUCCCCACAGGCAGCUUCACCCGGUUCGCCGACUGGCGGUUCAUUCACCGCGCCCGGCUGAAUUGCGUCCCGCUCAACGGUGCCAUCCGCCACGGGAACCGGGACAAACGCUGCAGGAAGUGCGGGUACGUCAACGAAACCCUGCCCCACGUCCUAUGCUGCUGCAAGCCCCAUGCCAGAGCCUGGCAGCUACGCCACAACGCCGUCCAGGACCGUCUAGUGAAGGCCAUCAACCCGCGUCUGGGAGAGAUCACUGUCAACCGCGCCGUCCCCAGCACCGACAGCCCGCUGCGCCCAGACAUCGUCGUCACGGACGAGGUGGGGAAAAAGAUCAUCCUGGUCGACGUAACGAUUCCGUUCGAGAACAGGACCCCGGCCUUCUGCGAAGCCCGAGCCCGCAAGCUCGAAAAAUACGCCCCCCUGGCUGACACCCUGCGGACUAAGGGUUACGAGGUGCACGUCGACGCUCUGCUCGUUGGGGCCCUGGGUGCCUGGGACCCGUGUAACGAACGCGUGCUGAGGACCUGUGGGGUGGGCCGUCAUUACGCGCGGCUCAUGAGACGCCUAAUGGUCUUGGACACUAUCCGUUGGUCCCGGGACAUUUACAUCGAGCACAUCACCGGCCACUGCCAAUACCGAGAGUGAGCUGGGGAGACCUUGUGCACCCACACACCCCCCCCUGCUGGACCCUAUCCCCUGAGCCCUAAACCCACCAAACCUAGCUGAAUCCCGCCACGUGAGGGUCACCCCAUCCCCAUU
rnacentral:lncRNA from 1 species